rnacentral:tRNA from 1 species
AGGGGGAUAGUUUAACUGGCAAAAUGGUAGCCUGUUACGCGACAGUUGUGGGUUCGAAUCCCCCCUCCUCAG